AGUGAACGCUGGCGGCGUGCUUAACACAUGCAAGUCGAACGAGAACGGAUUAUAGCUUGCUAUAAUUGUCAGCUAAGUGGCGCACGGGUGAGUAAUGUAUAGGUAAUAUGCCUCUUACUAAGGGAUAGCAAAUGGAAACGUUUGCUAAUACCUUAUACUCCUUAUUAACAGAAGUUAAUAAGGGAAAGAUUUAUUGGUAAGAGAUUAGCCUGUAUUGUAUCAGUUAGUUGGUGGGGUAAUGGCUUACCAAGACUAUGACACAUAACUGGUUUGAGAGGAUGAUCAGUCACACUGGAACUGAGACACGGUCCAGACUCCUACGGGAGGCAGCAGUGGGGAAUAUUGCACAAUGGACGAAAGUCUGAUGCAGCAACGCCGCGUGGAGGAUGACACAUUCGGUGCGUAACNCCUUUAUAUGAGAAGAUAAUGACGGUAUUAUAUGAUAAGCACCGGCUAACUCCGUGCCAGCAGCC
rnacentral:rRNA from 1 species